UACGGAGGGAGCGAACGUUGUUCGGAUUUACUGGGCGUAAAGGGCGUCUAGGCGGCUCUGUAAGUCAGGGGUGAAAUGUCCCGGCUCAACCGGGAACCUGCCUUUGAAACUGCGGAGCUUGAGGUCGUGAGAGGAGACUGGAAUUCCUAGUGUAGCGGUGAAAUGCAUAGAUAUUAGGAAGAACACCGGUGGCGAAGGCGAGUCUCUGGCACGAACCUGACGCUGAAGCGCGAAAGCUAGGGGAGCAAACGGG
rnacentral:rRNA from 1 species